rnacentral:rRNA from 1 species
CCUACGGGAGGCAGCAGUGGGGAAUAUUGCGCAAUGGGGGGAACCCUGAUGCAGCGACGCCGCGUGGGUGAAGAAGCGCCUCGGCGCGUAAAGCUCUGUCAGCAGGGAAGAAAAUGACGGUAACUGAAGACGAAGCCCCGGCUAACUACGUGCCAGCAGCCGCGGUAAUACGUAGGGGGCAAGCGUUAUCCGGAUUUACUGGGUGUAAAGGGGGCGCAGACGGCGGUGCAAGCCAGGAGUGAAAGCCCGGGGCCCAACCCCGGGACGGCUCUGGAAACGGCGGGGCUGGAGUGCAGGAGGGGCAGGGGGAAGUCCUGGUGUAGCGGUGAAAGGCGUAGAUAUCAGGAGGAACACCGGGGGCGAGGGCGGCCUGCUGGACUGCAACUGACGUUGAGGCCCGAAAGCGUGGGGAGCAAACAGGAUUAGAUACCCGGGUAGUC